GUCUAAACUAUCGGCUCAACUGAUAGUCGCGAUCAAAACUACUUUUCUUGAGUGAAGUAGAGGUAAGCGGAAUUCCUAGUGUAGCGGUGAAAUGCGUAGAUAUUAGGAGGAACACCAGUGGCGAAGGCGGCUUACUGGGCUUUAACUGACGCUGAGGCUCGAAAGUGUGGGUAGCAAACAGGAUUAGAUACCCUGGUAGUCCACGCUGUAAACGAUGAUUACUAGGUGUGGGGGGACUGACCCCUUCCGUGCCGCAGUUAACACAAUAAGUAAUCCACCUGGGGAGUACGGCCGCAAGGUUGAAACUCAAAGGAAUUGACGGGGGCCCGCACAAGCAGUGGAGUAUGUGGUUUAAUUCGAAGCAACGCGAAGAACCUUACCAGGUCUUGACAUCCUACUAACGAGAUAGAGAUAUGUUAGGUGCCCUUCGGGGAAAGUAGAGACAGGUGGUGCAUGGUUGUCGUCAGCUCGUGUCGUGAGAUGUUGGGUUAGUCCCGCAACGAGCGCAAACCCUUGCUAUUAGUUGCUACGCAAAGAGCACUCUAAUAGGACUGCCGUUGACAAAACGGAGGAAGGUGGGGACGACGUCAAAUCAUCAUGCCCCUUAUGACCUGGGCUACACACGUACUACAAUGGACAUUAAACAGAGGGAAAGCAAAUACAGUGAUGUGGAGCAAAACCCCUAAAAAUGUUCUCAGUUCAGAUUG
rnacentral:rRNA from 1 species